ACGGAAGGCAGCAGUGGGGGAUAUUGCACAAUGGGGGAAACCCUGAUGCAGCGACGCCGCGUGAGUGAUGAAGUAUUUCGGUAUGUAAAGCUCUAUCAGCAGGGAAGAAAAUGACGGUACCUGACUAAGAAGCACCGGCUAAAUACGUGCCAGCAGCCGCGGUAAUACGUAUGGUGCAAGCGUUAUCCGGAUUUACUGGGUGUAAAGGGAGCGCAGGCGGCCAUGCAAGUCAGAAGUGAAAGCCCGGGGCUCAACCCCGGGACUGCUUUUGAAACUGUAAGGCUAGAUUGCCGGAGAGGUAAGCGGAAUUCCUAGUGUAGCGGUGAAAUGCGUAGAUAUUAGGAGGAACACCAGUGGCGAAGGCGGCUUACUGGACGGUAAAUGACGCUCAGGCUCGAAAGCGUGGGGAGCAAACAGGAUUAGAUACCCUGGUA
rnacentral:rRNA from 1 species